CCCUUAGAUGUUCUGGGCCGCACCCGCGCUACACUGAAGGAGGCAGCGUGUACUCCUGGAUCGAAAGAUUUGGGUAACCCGCGAAUCUCCUUCGUGCUAGGGAUUGAGGUUUGCAAUUAUCCUUCAUGAACGAGGAAUUCCCAGUAAGUGCAAGUCAUAAGCUUGCGCUGACUACGUCCCUGCCCUUUGUACACACCGCCCGUCGCUACUACCGAUUGAAUGAUUUAGUGAGGACUUCGGACUGGGACCGAUGCGGCUUUCGGGCUGCGUCGGUAUUCUGGAAAGAUGUCCAAACUGUAUCAUUUAGAGGAAGUAAAAGUCGUAGCA
rnacentral:rRNA from 1 species